rnacentral:rRNA from 1 species
CGAGCGCAACCCUUAUCCCUUUGUUGCCAGCGGUCCGGCCGGGGAAACUCAAAGGAGACUGCCAGUGAUAAACUGGAGGAAGGUGGGGAUGACGUCAAGUCAUCAUGGCCCUUACGACCAGGGCUACACACGUGCUACAAUGGCGCAUACAAAGAGAAGCGACCUCGCGAGAGCAAGCGGACCUCAUAAAGUGCGUCGUAGUCCGGAUUGGAGUCUGCAACUCGACUCCAUGAAGUCGGAAUCGCUAGUAAUCGUGGAUCAGAAUGCCACGGUGAAUACGUUCCCGGGCCUU